CGGGGAGUAGCGCAGCUCGGUAGCGCACUUGACUGGGGGUCAAGUGGUCGCGGGUUCAAAUCCCGCCUCCCCGACCA
rnacentral:tRNA from 2 species